rnacentral:tRNA from 1 species
GCCUGGGUGGCUCAGUUGGUUAAGCAUCUGACUUCAGCUCAGGUCAUGAUCUUGCAGUCUGUGAGUUCGAGCCCCACGUUGGGCU